AGCCCCGUGGUGUAGCGGUCCAGCAUCAGCGGUUCUGGUCCGUUGGACCCAGGUUCGAGUCCUGGCGGGGCUACCA
rnacentral:tRNA from 1 species